CAACAGUGUACAGUCACAAUAGGGCACACUUCUGAGGAGAAUUUUCUUUAAGGUUUCUAGUAGCAUGACUCAGAGAGUUUGCACAAGGGAAACAACUGUUGCUUGACUAAGAUCUGACACUUCCUGUCGACUGUUCACAAGCCUCCUCAGGGUUCUA